GGGAAGAGCAUUUCCUUCUUAAACUUACCUGUUACUUCCAUUAGCCAGACGGUGACAACCAAUUGUUCAAGGAAAACAGCAACGUCUUUUCUUCGAAAAUACAGAAUUACAGGAAUGGACAGUCAAAGCAGAGCUGUGUUCACAGUCAUCACGGUGAUGGCGUACAUGGGGAUGGGAGCUGAGGCACAGAACACAGCAGGCUCAGGAAUCAUCUCAAGGGCAAAUUGUGGAACCACACAGUUUUGCGCUGCUCAGCCAGCAGGCUGUGACCCAUCUGUGUCUGGAUCCUGUUUCUUCUUCUCAGCCAGUUUCAACUCGGGACAGAACUUUUCAUUCCAGCUUCAAGGACAAUCCAGCAUCUACAUCGCUCUACUGUUGUUCACAGACAUUGCAAUGUUGUCUUCAAACUUAACAAUGGGACAAAUUGACUUCUAUUUGUGUUAUAACAUCAACAACAUCGACAACACAAUUUCCACACUUGGAAUAACGAUUCCUAACGUGGCGGCUAACCUGGUGAUCGGCUCAGUCAGUGGUCAGACCAUCGGUUGUAUCAUCCCCAAUGCUAUUUCCACCAAGAGCAGCAGUACCUCCUUUUUCAUUUCUAUCUUAGCUGGGACCCUGACUAAUGGAGUCCCAGGUAUUCCUGAGCCUGUCUUUAUAAGCACUGCAGCCGUGGACCUGUCCAACCCCAAAGCCACUGCGUCCAACAGCCUCACGUUGGCCUCACCAAACGCUUUUGGUCUACAGCGCACCCUGUCUCAAGCUCUGCUGAUCCUGCUUGGUGGACUAGUUUUCAUCAUGCUGUAAUGUGGAUCUAAGUAGUAAACCACUUCAUAUUCAGGAAUACUGGAUCUCUAUGGUUACUGAAGCCAACCAGGCUGGGUUCCCAAGAAUGAAACUCCUUCUGAGCAGGGGUAGUAAGACAUUAGCCUACAGAAUUAAUCCAGUAAUAUAAGAUUAAUGCUGUGUUUAUAGUCAAGGCCUUUUCAGGUACAUUUUGCCAUUGUUCAACCUCAUAACCUCCAGGAUUACCCCAAAAUCAACACAUGUAAAAUUUUGAUGUUGUGUUGAGAAGUAAAUAUGAGGUAUACACCCAAGACAUACACCACAAGUUAUUUAUUUGAGCCCAGUCACCUUUUACUUCAUCUUAGCUGAUGUCAAGUUAUGAAGGAAGACAAUUUGGUUCGAGUGUGUGUGUGUGCUUGCGUGGACUGUAAAUAUUUGCUACAAAUUUGCGUCUAAUGAAGCUACAAGUUGGCAGAAGCUGAUACUUGUGUGUUUGUGUGUCUGAUAAAAUAUGACACAUUUUCUUCAUGAUUUCCCUUCAUGAUUGAAGUUUGGAAUGUUUUUAACAUAUAAUUAGGAAAAUAUGUUUGUACAUUAACAAUACUAUAUUUCUGUUACUCUCUUUAAUACAUAGACUUUUAUAUAAUCUGUUGACUGAAAAAAAAACACGGAUUUUAUACUGGAUCGCGUGUAAUGCAGUUUACAAACAGUUGGUGUAUGUUGAUGUUGGUUGUUUAAAAAAGUUAUAAUACAGCUAACAGAGUAACGAGAAUGAAGUAACCAGCAGAACAGCAUAGUAUGUUUCCAGAGUUUGAUUAAUUGAAACCUACAUUGAAUAACAUUAUUUAAAUACUAUGACCUUCCAAGAAAUGUUUAUGCAUAUAAAACAACUUUCCAUGUCAGAAUAGUUUGGGGUCAUUCAAACAGCCAAAUUCUGACUUAACUUCGGUGAAACAGUUUUUGAAUAUGCGAGGAAAACACAAAAGAUCUGUCUACAACAAAAAAAAAAACAGUCCUUCUAUGUCCUAAGUCCUCGUUUGUCUUUGUUGUAGAGGGUUUUAAACACACUUUGGCAUUAUAUUGCCCUCUUUGGUUUAGCAAAGACAUUUUACGCAAGCUUAUAGCCCACAUUUUUAAUGUUUGACAUGACAUAAAAAAUGGGCCAAUUCAUACACCUAAAGAGAAAAUACAGUCAUCCCUGCUACUUAUGACUCAGCAACAAUAUACCAUAACCUUCUGAUAUCAAUAAGAACAAACCUUUUCUACUUUUAAUUAAUGUAAAAUGUUUUUCACAUUUUCUAAUUAGGUGUCUUACUCAAGCAUGACAUGUGCUUUCUCACUGAACAGUUUGUGUCUCUAAAUGUAUUCACUAUUCUUACUUCAAGUUUGCAAACUUUAAUUUCAUGUUCAACAAACUGAAUUAUAUUUAACUUUUCAGUUGCAAAAUUACAUCUCUGUCAAAAAUGAAGGGAGACAGGACACAGAUGCAGGCAGAAUGGAGGACUUCAAUAAAUAAACAAAAUAAGACAUGAACAAACAUAAAAAAGAACACGUUAUGAUCACUGACCAGUGAAUACAUGAGGUAUGACUGCUGGUAAGCUCCUCUAGGCAAUUUUUUUUUAGAGUUUAAAUAGCUAGCCAAAAAUGUAAUUUGCAUUUUACCUUAUGGGUUUUGUACAGCGCCUUUGGAAAGGGUUUCUUAACCAUUGCUUUCUACUUCAAUAUGAUUGGGCUUCAUUUCUACAUUACACAAUAAAGGUCUGUCAGAUAUUCAGUUGUUCAUAUUAAUCCAAUACAUCCAAUAACCCUUGUUCUUCCAGAAUCUGGCUGUUUAUGUAAACAUGACCCAAAAUCGAAGGAUGUGUCAUGAAUGGUGGUGUUGCGGGAGCAAGGAAACAGGUGCAGGCAGAGGUAGUCGGUGUAGUUCUUUUAAUUAAAAAAAAACACAGAGCAAACAAAACACAAUGAAAGAAAAGGGCCAAAACAAAAGCAACCCCGGCAAGCUCAGGCAGUGGAGGCCACUCCUCCUCGGGCUCAGGCGACUCGGGCCACUCCUCCUCGGGCUCAGGCGGUAGAGGCCACUGCUCCACAGGCUCAGGCAGAAGAAGGCCGCCGCUUCUUGCAGGUAGGAGGCGCGGGCUGCCGCCUCUGGCAGGUAGGAGGCGCGGGCUGACUAAAGCAGCAAAACGAAAGCAGGCAACGGGUAUAACGUACUUACAAUUGACAGCGACACACAAGACAGCAAACAUGAGAAUCCACACUGUGGGAGCAGAGGGGAAACAUUUAAACACCUACAUGUUAAUAGAUAGGGACCUGGUGUGCAAGAUGAUUGAAGACAUGUGACAGAACAAGUCCGGGAUGCAUUCAUAUGUUUUGGGAACUAAAGGUGUAUGGAACGGUGGCGCUGCUGCUCACCGUACCUGUAACGGUCCCAGCCUGAGCCGUUCCACUUGGUGUUUUCUGUUUGUCCUUGACUUGUCUUGUCCUUGUAUUGUCUUUCCUGUUCUUGUUUCAGUUAAUCUGUAUAUUCCUUUCUCCUGUGUUUAGCCGCCACCUGUUUCUGUUCUCCUCAUUAGUUUGUGUAUUUAGUUCAGCCAUUUUGUCCCUGUCCCUGUUCGGUCAUUGUGCUUGUCAUAUUUUCUGUACUCCUGAAACUCCUGAACGUCUUGUAGUGCCCAGCACUCCACUUUGCUUUCUUUGUUUUUGUUUAUUAAAAAGGAAACAGACUGACAUUCUGCACCUGCAUCCGUCUCCCUUUCUAAAACGUGACAGUACCGUGACAGGAUGUGUUAGCCUUUUCUGUUAUUUGUUGUAUUUAUGUUUUUAUAGCUUCACAACAUUGUUGAAAAAUAAAUGGCAAUUCCUCAAAAAGGGUAUUGACACUGUUGUAUAUAAAAAUUAAGAUAUUCGCACUUACACUAAAUCUGCAGUAGUCUGAAGUUUUGCUACACAACCACCAAUAUUGUAGAAACGUUGCAGAAACCCCAGGCAUGCGAAUGCACGUUACA
ensembl:lncRNA